UGGGGCGUCGCCAAGCUGGUCUAAGGCACCGGAUUUUGAUUCCGGCAUUCCUAGGUUCGAAUCCUAGCGCCCCAGCCA
rnacentral:tRNA from 3 species